rnacentral:lncRNA from 1 species
GUUACGCAGUGGGAACAGAAGUCAGGUGGUGGCUGAGGUCCCACGUGUGCCCCCCCCCCUUCCCCAUGCCCACCUGCCAGGCCCUGGAAUGGGCGGUCCAGGACCAAGGGCUUCAUCCUCCUCCAGCCCUGCCCCCUCGGCCGCCGCACCGCCCUCCCCUCGUUGUGCCAAAGGCUGGCCCAGCCCCGGGCUGCGUACACCCUCACCCUGCUCUGCCUUAAAGCCUUGCGGUCUGGCUGGCCCCUGGCCUCUGCCCUUGCCUAGCUCUGCCCACCACUCCCAGGGCCGAGGGGUGCCCCGGGCUGCCAGGACCGCCCGAACUCUCCUGGCGGGACCUGGCCUCCCCAUGAGCUGAGCUCUUACACCCAGUUUGGAUGGUGGCUGCUGCCGGCCUUGGGCUGAGGUGAGGGCUGGGUUCGGUCCCACCCAAGGCGCCUAUUUAUUUUGCUUUAGG